CUCCGGUUGAUCCUGCCGGACCCGACUGCUAUCAGAGUGGGACUAAGCCAUGCGAGUCAACGUAGCAAUACGUGGCAUACGGCUCAGUAACACGUAGUCAACAUGCCCAGGGGACGAGGAUAACCUCGGGAAACUGAGGAUAAACCUCGAUAGGCCAUGAUUUCUGGAAUGAUUCUUGGCUCAAACCUAUAUGGCCCCUGGAUUGGACUGCGGCCGAUCAGGCUGUUGGUGAGGUAAUGGCCCACCAAACCUAUUACCGGUACGGGCUCUGAGAGGAGGAGCCCGGAGGUGGGCACUGAGACAAGGGCCCAGGCCCUAUGGGGCGCAGCAGGCGCGAAACCUCUGCAAUAGGCGAAAGCUUGACAGGGUUACUCUGAGUGAUUUCCGCUAAGGGAAUCUUUUGGCACCUCUAAAAAUGGUGCAGAAUAAGGGGUGGGCAAGUCUGGUGUCAGCCGCCGCGGUAAUACCAGCACCCCGAGUGGUCGGGACGAUUAUUGGGCCUAAAGCAUCCGUAGCCGGUCCUGCAAGUCUUCCGUUAAAUCCAGCUGCUCAACAGAUGGGCUGCGGGAGAUACUACAGGGCUAGGAGGCGGGAGAGGCAAGCGGUACUUUAUGGGUAGGGGUAAAAUCCGCUGAUCCAUAGAAGACCACCAGUGGCGAAGGCGGCUUGCCAGAACGCGCUCGACGGUGAGGGAUGAAAGCUGGGGGAGCAAACCGGAUUAGAUACCCGGGUAGUCCCAGCUGUAAACGAUGCAGACUCGGUGAUGGGUUGGCCUCGCGCCUGCCCAGUGCCGCAGGGAAGCCGUUAAGUCUGCCGCCUGGGGAGUACGGUCGCAAGACUGAAACUUAAAGGAUUGGCGGGGGUAGCA
rnacentral:rRNA from 1 species